rnacentral:rRNA from 1 species
CCUACGGGUGGCAGCAGUGAGGAAUAUUGGUCAAUGGGCGCGAGCCUGAACCAGCCAAGUAGCGUGAAGGAUGACUGCCCUACGGGUUGUAAACUUCUUUUAUAAAGGAAUAAAGUGAGGCACGUGUGCCUUUUUGCAUGUACUUUAUGAAUAAGGAUCGGCUAACUCCGUGCCAGCAGCUGCGGUAAUACUGAGGCUACGAGCGUUAUCUGGAUUUAUUGGGUUUAAAGGGAGCGUAGAUGGGUUGUUAAGUCAGUUGUGAAAGUUUGCGGUUCAACCGUAAAAUUGCAAUUGAUACUGGCAGUCGUGAGUACAGUUGAGGUAGGCGGAAUUCGUGGUGUAGCGGUGCAAUGCUUAGAUAUCACGAAGAACCCCGAUUGCGAAGGCAGCUUACUAAACUGUGACUGACAUUGAUGCUCGAAAGUGUGGGUAUCAAACAGGAUUAGAUACCCCUGUAGUC